AUUGAACGCUGGCGGCAGGCCUAACACAUGCAAGUCGAGCGGCAGCACAAGUGAGUUUACUCAUGAGGUGGCGAGCGGCGGACGGGUGAGUAAUGCCUAGGGAUCUGCCCAGUCGAGGGGGAUAACAGUUGGAAACGACUGCUAAUACCGCAUACGCCCUACGGGGGAAAGGAGGGGACCUUCGGGCCUUCCGCGAUUGGAUGCACCUAGGUGGGAUUAGCUAGUUGGUGAGGUAAUGGCUCACCAAGGCGACGAUCCCUAGCUGUUCUGAGAGGAUGAUCAGCCACACUGGGACUGAGACACGGCCCAGACUCCUACGGGAGGCAGCAGUGGGGAAUAUUGCACAAUGGGGGAAACCCUGAUGCAGCCAUGCCGCGUGUGUGAAGAAGGCCUUCGGGUUGUAAAGCACUUUCAGUAGGGAGGAAAGGGUAAGUCUUAAUACGGCUUAUCUGUGACGUUACCUACAGAAGAANGACCGGCUAACUCCGUGCCAGCCGCCGCGGUAACAC
rnacentral:rRNA from 1 species